rnacentral:rRNA from 1 species
GCUGGCGGCGUGCCUAAUACAUGCAAGUCGAGCGAACAGAUAAGGAGCUUGCUCCUUUGACGUUAGCGGCGGACGGGUGAGUAACACGUGGGUAACCUACCUAUAAGACUGGAAUAACUCCGGGAAACCGGGGCUAAUGCCGGAUAACAUUUAGAACCGCAUGGUUCUAAAGUGAAAGAUGGUUUUGCUAUCACUUAUAGAUGGACCCGCGCCGUAUUAGCUAGUUGGUAAGGUAAUGGCUUACCAAGGCAACGAUACGUAGCCGACCUGAGAGGGUGAUCGGCCACACUGGAACUGAGACACGGUCCAGACUCCUACGGGAGGCAGCAGUAGGGAAUCUUCCGCAAUGGGCGAAAGCCUGACGGAGCAACGCCGCGUGAGUGAUGAAGGGUUUCGGCUCGUAAAACUCUGUUAUUAGGGAAGAACAAACGUGUAAGUAACUGUGCACGUCUUGACGGUACCUAAUCAGAAAGCCACGGCUAACUACGUGCCAGCAGCCGCGGUAAUACGUAGGUGGCAAGCGUUAUCCGGAAUUAUUGGGCGUAAAGCGCGCGUAGGCGGUUUCUUAAGUCUGAUGUGAAAGCCCACGGCUCAACCGUGGAGGGUCAUUGGAAACUGGGAGACUUGAGUGCAGAAGAGGAAAGUGGAAUUCCAUGUGUAGCGGUGAAAUGCGCAGAGAUAUGGAGGAACACCAGUGGCGAAGGCGACUUUCUGGUCUGUAACUGACGCUGAUGUGCGAAAGCGUGGGGAUCAAACAGGAUUAGAUACCCUGGUAGUCCACGCCGUAAACGAU